GGAGAGAUGGCCGAGCGGUUGAUGGCGCUGGUCUUGAAAACCAGUGAUGUCGAAAGGCACCGGGGGUUCGAAUCCCUCUCUCUCCGCCA
rnacentral:tRNA from 1 species